AACGCGAAGAACCUUACCUGGGCUCGAAAUGUAGUGGAAUCCGGCAGAAACGUCGGCGUCUAGCAAUAGACCGCUAUAUAGGUGCUGCAUGGCUGUCGUCAGCUCGUGUCGUGAGAUGUUGGGUUAAGUCCCGCAACGAGCGCAACCCUUAUCUACAGUUGCUACCAUUUAGUUGAGCACUCUGUCGAAACCGCCUCGGAUAACGGGGAGGAAGGUGGGGAUGACGUCAAGUCCUCAUGGCCUUUAUGUCCAGGGCUACACACGUGCUACAAUGGCCGGUACAAACCGCUGCAAACCCGCGAGGGGGAGCUAAUCGGAAAAAGCCGGCCUCAGUUCGGAUUGGAGUCUGCAACUCGACUCCAUGAAGCUGGAAUCGCUAGUAAUCGUGGAUCAGCAUGCCACGGUGAAUACGUUCCCGGGCCUUGUA
rnacentral:rRNA from 1 species